AACGAACGCUGGCGGCAUGCCUAACACAUGCAAGUCGAACGAGACCUUCGGGACUAGUGGCGCACGGGUGCGUCACGCGUGGGAACCUGCACUUAGGUUCGGCAUAACUACACGACAGGGAUGCUUAUACCGGAUAAUGUCUUAGGACCGAAGAUUUAUCGCACUUGGAUGGGCACGAGUUGGAUUAGCUAGUUGGGAGGGUAAUAGACUAACAAGGCGACGAUUCAUAACUGGUCUGAGAGGAUGAUCAGCCACUCUGGGACUGAGACACGGCCCAGACUCCUACGGGAUGCAGCAGUGGGGAAUGGUGGACAACCGGCGGAAGCCUGAACCAGCACGGCCGCGUGAGCGAUGAAGUCCUUAGGGUUGUAAUGCGCUUGUACCCGUGAUGAUAAUGACAGUACCGGGAGAAUAAGCUCCGGCUAACUCCGUG
rnacentral:rRNA from 1 species